GACAGAGGAUGCAAGCGUUUAUCCGGAAUUACUGGGCGUAAAGCGUGCGCAGGCGGUUUUGUAAGUCUGUCGUGAAAUCCCCGGGCUCAACCUGGGGAAUUGCGAUGGAGACUGCAAGGCUUGAAUCUGGCAGAGGGGGGGUAGAAUUCCACGUGUAGCAGUGAAAUGCGUAGAGAUGUGGAGGAACACCGAUGGCGAAGGCAGCCCCCCUGGGUCAAGAUUGACGCUCAUGCACGAAAGCGUGGGGAGCAAACAGG
rnacentral:rRNA from 1 species